UCCAUGGAGAUCAUGAAUCACAUCAGAAGGUCAUUGACUUGGUAAAAGAAUACAACGCUCAGUCCAAGGACAACGUUAUUUCCAUAAUGCUAGAUACUAAGGGCCCUGAGGUAAGAAGUGGGGAUGUGGUUCAGCCUAUCUUGCUCAACGAAGGGCAAGAGUUCAA